ensembl:lncRNA
UUCAGGCCCGUAGGAACACAUGCUUUAAUAAUUAUAGUCGGAAUUCAGUUUUUAAUUAAAAAUAAAAACAAAAAGCAUGGAGCUUCCGGCCUACAGCGGUGACGUCACACUCUCCUGUUACAGAACCAAAUAAAUAAAUCAGCAAAUAAAUACAUCCCACCGGAAAAGAAAUUAGAGCGCUAUGAAAAGAAAACAAAGAAAUGGUAAAAAAUAAAACAGAAAUAAAGUUAGUAAGUGCUGUGUUUUAUGUACAAAUUUCACAUCGAUGCACACAGAGGGACUCGACCAGGAGGUGGUUUCAUGCAUUGACAAAUAAAAAACCCCACCGCCCUCCCCACCACAUCGGUUCCCUUUAAAAAGGUAAAGACGGUAACAAAGUAUUCACAUUUUCACUGAAUAAAGCAAAAAUCAAUGCACAUGAUGGAAGGAGUUGGUCUAAGUACAGGUUGUUAUGGCCACUAGUCCACUUUGUUCAUUCACAUUCACGUCUUAUUUACACUGGCGCCUCAUUGCAGUCAAAAAAAGGUGCUUUUUUCAGGUAUUUAGCCCCAGUGCUUCAAAAAAAGAAAAAAAAAACAGGUCUAGAAAGAGAUCUCCUCAGAAGAAACUGAGCUAAAAGCCGACACACAAUGGCUAACGAGUAAAACAUGUCCCAAAAUAGUGAAUUUAGAGGAAAUAAGCAGCAAGAAACACAAAUCUAUUGUGCCUAAAAUUGGCCCUAAAUGUCCAUUUCUGCUGCAAAAUAUGAGUUCCAACAACAGAGAACAGGUUUUAAAGGAAGAAUAGAAAUGUUUAUGGUUAUAAUUUCAGAAAAAGCUUCUAACUUUCAAGACUCUAACGUCUUUAGUGAUUAUUUUGGUUUUCUCAUGUUGCUAUUAAAGUGAGCCACCGUGCAAACUGGCCAGCUAGGCUAACUCCCCAGCUAGCGUUAUAACAAAAAUGUCCAUUUACGUUUAAAAUGUAAGUUCCAACAACCAGCUAGGCUAACUACCCAGCUAGCUUUUUAACAAAAAAAUCCAUUUCUGCGUAAAAUAUAAGCUCCAACAAACAGCUAGACUAAGUAGCUGGCUAGCUUUUUAACAAAAACGUCAAUUUCUGUUUAAUAUUGAUUCCAACAGCAGUGUAUAUGGUUUUCCAAAUGGGAUAGAAAUUUUUUUGGUCAUAUUGUGGAAAAAGUCUAUCUUUUCUUUUCUUACAGUGUUCAGCUUUUAGAAAACGUCAUGGUGCAACUAAGCUUGACUUGGAAAACAAAAGCUAGCCAGCUACGCUAACUAGCUUAUACUCGGAAUUCAGCAGCUACCUAACAGACUCCACAUGUUGUAGUUAGCAAUUAACAUUAGCGUUAUUAGCAUUAACAUUGUCAAGCACCAAAAACUCUGUUUGCUAAUUACUAUUUCACCCAUUUUAGGUCAUAACAAACCUCACAGAUCUAUC